rnacentral:lncRNA from 1 species
CACACCAUGCCACAAGAGGGGGCGGGCCCCUCUUGCAUUAUCCAAGGGAUUGGCGCCCCUUGGUCCUGCCAUAAAGGGAGGUAGGCGCCACCCUUCUUUCCAAUUAUUCCACACACACAUUAAGAGAUAAUGAGUAGAUAAUGAUGAGAUAAUGAGAAGAUAAUUUAGCCAACUAAUUGACUUAAUCCAAUCCUUUUGGGCUUAUAAUUAGGAGUCUAAUUAAAUUCAAAUGGAU